rnacentral:sRNA from 1 species
GCCGAGAGCCCAGCGAUAAGGUACUCCCGCUACGCUCCGCAACAUCCAGACGCAGUAAAGCAUAUAGCUCUAUAUACACACACACACACACGCACACACGUUGUUAUAAUUUAUUUAUUAUUAUAUUAUGUAAUCGAUUUGAGAGAACGGUAUUGUACCAGGACAUCGCCAAACUACCUCAGUCCAAGUACUUGGUGUUGAAUUGCCUCAUGUAUCAUGUAUUACUCUUUGAAAAACAGCAAAUCAGCGAAAGUCUUCCAAAAACACUCACAGAAAAUCAAAAUGUAAAAA